UACAGAGGGGGGCAAGCGUUGUUCGGAAUUACUGGGCGUAAAGGGCGCGUAGCGGCCGCCUAAGUCAGACGUGAAAUCCCUCGGCUCAACCGGGGAACUGCGUCUGAUACUGGGUGGCUUGAAUCCGGGAGAGGGAUGCGGAAUUCCAGGUGUAGCGGUGAAAUGCGUAGAUAUCUGGAGGAACACCGGUGGCGAAGGCGGCAUCCUGGACCGGCAUUGACGCUGAGGCGCGAAAGCCAGGGGAAGCAAGCGGGGAUUAAGAAACCCGUUGUAACGUCC
rnacentral:rRNA from 1 species